rnacentral:rRNA from 1 species
CGGGUGAGGAAUACAUCGGAAUCUGCCUUGUUGUGGGGGAUAACGUAGGGAAACUUACGCUAAUACCGCAUAAGACCUUAGGGUGAAAGCGGAGGACCUUCGGGCUUCGCGCGACAAGAUGAGCCGAUGUCGGAUUAGCUAGUUGGCGGGGUAAAGGCCCACCAAGGCGACGAUCAGUAGCUGGUCUGAGAGGAUGAUCAGCCACAUUGGGACUGAGAUACGGCCCAG